rnacentral:rRNA from 1 species
GACGAACGCUGGCGGCGUGCUUAACACAUGCAAGUCGAACGGUGACGAGGAGCUUGCUCCUCUGAUCAGUGGCGAACGGGUGAGUAACACGUGAGCAACCUGCCCCAGACUCUGGGAUAACAGUUGGAAACAGCUGCUAAUACCGGAUACGAGACGGAGAGGCAUCUCUACCGUCUGGAAAGUUUUUCGGUCUGGGAUGGACUCGCGGCCUAUCAGCUAGUUGGUGAGGUAAUGGCUCACCAAGGCGACGACGGGUAGCCGGCCUGAGAGGGCGACCGGCCACACUGGGACUGAGACACGGCCCAGGACUCCUACGGGAGGCAGCAGUGGGGAAUAUUGCACAAUGGGCGAAAGCCUGAUGCAGCGACGCCGCGUGAGGGAUGAAGGCCUUCGGGUUGUAAACCGUCUUUCAG